rnacentral:rRNA from 1 species
GACGAACGCUGGCGGCGUGCUUAACACAUGCAAGUCGAACGGAAAGGCCUCUUUCGGGGGGUACUCGAGUGGCGAACGGGUGAGUAACACGUGAGUAACCUGCCCUUGACUUUGGGAUAACUUAAGGAAACUGGGGCUAAUACCUGAUAGGAGCUCCUGCUGCAUGGUGGGGGUUGGAAAGUUUCGGCGGUUGGGGAUGGACUCGCGGCUUAUCAGCUUGUUGGUGGGGUAGUGGCUUACCAAGGCUUUGACGGGUAGGCGGCCUGAGAGGGUGACCGGCCACACUGGGACCGAGAGACGGCACAGACUCCUACGGGAGGCAGCAGUGGGGAAGAUUGCACAAUGGGUGGAAGCCUGAUGCAGCAACGCCGUGUGCGGGAGGACGGCCUUCGGGUUGUAAACCGCUUUCGCUCAUGACGAAGCUUUGUGUGACGGUAGUGGGUAAAGAAGCACCGGCUAACUACGUG